rnacentral:rRNA from 1 species
UACAGAGGUCCCGAGCGUUGUUCGGAUUCAUUGGGCGUAAAGGGUGUGUAGGUGGCGCGCUAAGUCGGGGUGUGAAAAUUUCGGAGCUUAACUCCGAAAACUGCAUUCGAUACUGGCGUGCUUGAGGACUGGAGAGGAGACUGGAAUUCAUGGUGUAGCAGUGAAAUGCGUAGAGAUCAUGAGGAAGACCAGUGGCGAAGGCGGGUCUCUGGACAGUUCCUGACACUGAGACACGAAGGCUAGGAGCAACGG